AACUUUUAGCAAUGGAUCACUUGGCUCUCGCAUCGAUGAAGAACGCAGCGAAAUCCGAUAAGUAAUGUGAAUUGCAGAAUUCAGUGAAUCAUCGAAUCUUUGAACGCACCUUGCGCUCCUUGGUAUUCCGAGGAGCAUGCCUGUUUGAGUGUCAUUAAAUUCUCAACCUUCCAGCUUUUAUUAGCUUGGUUAGGCUUGGAUGUGGGGGUUGUGGGCUUCAUUAAUGAGGUCGACUCUCCUUAAAUGCAUUAGCGGAACUUUUGUGGACCGUCUAUUGGUGUGAUAAUUAUCUACGCUGUGGAUGUGAAGCAGUUCAGCUUCUAACCGUCCAUUGACUUGGACAAUUUUGACAAUUUGACCUCAAAUCAGGUAGGACUACCCGCUGAACUUAAGCAUAUCAAUAAGCGGAGGCU
rnacentral:misc_RNA from 1 species